UUGUGAACUAGGAAUCUUCCCUUUUCUGUCUACUGGGAGAGUUUACAUUCAGAUUUUAAAAAAAUAAAGGGUAAGUUAAAAUGUCAAACACUAGUCAUGGAGAAGGGGGGGGGGGGGUCUGAUGAAAUUUCCUGUCAUUAGGGGUAGAGAAUUAGUUUCUGGAUACAAUGAUGUUGUAGGCAGGGCGUAUCCAAAUCUGGAUAAAGCAGCUUUAUGCAAUUGCCUCAAGUGAUGGUAUUUGAUACAAUCCAAUGUAAUGGAAUAGAAUAUUUUUGAACUAGAAAUUCUUUAGGAACUUGAAAAUUUGGAAUGACAAGGGGAAAGGUAAUGUGGGUUUCCUAUAAGAUCCUUAUAUGACUGCUAGCUGGUCAGAAGUCACAUGUCUGUACAAUGCAAAUUUUCCACUAAGUUAUGGAAUAUAAUGUUGCAUUUGAGGGACAUUUGGUGGACCAUGCAAAAUUCA
rnacentral:lncRNA from 1 species